rnacentral:rRNA from 1 species
AUUGAACGCUGGCGGCAGGCCUAACACAUGCAAGUCGGACGGUAGCACAGAGGAGCUUGCUCCUUGGGUGACGAGUGGCGGACGGGUGAGUAAUGUCUGGGGAUCUGCCCGAUAGAGGGGGAUAACCACUGGAAACGGUGGCUAAUACCGCAUAACGUCGCAAGACCAAAGAGGGGGACCUUCGGGCCUCUCACUAUCGGAUGAACCCAGAUGGGAUUAGCUAGAAGGCGGGUAAUGGCCGACCUAGGCGCCGAUCCCUAGCUGGUUUGAAAGGAUGACCAGCCACGCUGGAACUGAGACACGGUCCAGACUCCUACGGGAGGCAGCAGUGGGGAAUAUUGCACAAUGGGCGCAAGCCUGAUGCAGCCAGGCCGCGUGUAUGAAGAAGGCCUUCGGGUUGUAAAGUACUUUCAGCGGGGAGGAAGGCGGUGAGGUUAAUAACCUUGCCGAUUGACGUUACCCGCAGAAGAAGCACUGGCUAACUCCGUGCCAGCAGCCGCCGUAA